rnacentral:rRNA from 1 species
AGUACGGCGAGUGAAGAGGAAGAGCUCAAAGUUGGAACCUGUUUGGCCUAGCUAAACCGGAUUGUAGACUGUAGAAGUGUUUUCCAGGCAAGCCGAGUAAAUAAGUCCUUUGGAACAGGGCAUCAUAGAGGGUGAGAAUCCCGUCUUUGGCUUGAGCAUUUGCCUUUUGUGAUACGCUUUCAAAGAGUCAGGUUGUUUGGGAAUGCAGCCUAAAUUGGGUGGUAAAUCUCACCUAAAGCUAAAUAUUGGCGAGAAACCGAUAGCGAACAAGUACCGUGAGGGAAAGAUGAAAAGAACUUUGAAAAGAGAGUUAAACAGUAUGUGAAAUUGUUAAAAGGGAACCGUUUGGAGCCAGACUGGCUUGUCUGUAAUCAAUCUAGGCUUCGGCCUGGAUGCACUUGCAGGCUAUGCCUGCCAACGACAAUUUGACUUGAGGGAAAAAACUAGGGGAAAUGUGGCCCACUUGUGGGUGUUAUAGUCCCUUAGAAAAUACCUUGGGUUGGAUUGAGGAACGCAGCGAAUGCUUAUUGGCGAGUUUUCCAGGAAGGUUUUCUGAGGUACUACGGUAUCAAGGUUGAUCUUUUUGGUUAUACUUCUAUUCGCUUAGGUUGUUGGCUNANUGACUCUNAAUGACCCGUCUU